CCAAUCACUGAGCAAGACCUCAUCUCCUUCAUCAUAGCCGGGCUCGAUAUGGAUUAUCAGCCCCUCAUCUCUGCGCUCGAUGUUCGAACCGAUCCCGUCUCCAUUGAUGAUCUGUUUGGUAUGGUGGCCAACUUCGAUC
rnacentral:snoRNA from 1 species